rnacentral:rRNA from 1 species
GGGGGGGGCGAGCGUUGUUCGGAAUUACUGGGCGUAAAGGGCGCGUAGGCGGUACGAGAAGUUUCGGGUGAAAGCCCCGGGCUCAACCCGGGAAGGUCCCGGAAAACCAUCGUACUGGAGUGCUGGAGGGGCAAGCGGAAUUUCUGGUGUAGCGGUGAAAUGCGUAGAUAUCAGAAGGAACAUCAGAGGCGAAGGCGGCUUGCUGGACAGCAACUGACGCUGAGGCGCGAAAGCCAGGGGAGCAAACGGGAUUAGAUACCCCGGUAGUCCUGGCCGUAAACGAUGGGUACUUGGUGUUGGCAGCGUGUAGGCUGUCAGUGCCGGCGAAAACUCGUUAAGUACCCCGCCUGGGGAGUACGAUCGCAAGAUUG